rnacentral:rRNA from 1 species
CCUACGGGUGGCAGCAGUGAGGAAUAUUGGUCAAUGGACGAGAGUCUGAACCAGCCAAGUAGCGUGAAGGAUGACUGCCCUAUGGGUUGUAAACUUCUUUUAUAUGGGAAUAAAAUGUUCCACGUGUGGGAUUUUGUAUGUACCAUAUGCAUAAGGAUCGGCUAACUCCGUGCCAGCAGCCGCGGUAAUACGGAGGAUUCGAGCGUUAUCCGGAUUUAUUGGGUUUAAAGGGAGCGUAGGUGGAUUGUUAAGUUAGUUGUGAAAGCUUGCGGCUCAACCGUAAAAUUGCAGUUGAAACUGGCAGUCGUGAGUACAGUAGAGGUGGGCGGAAGUCGUGGUGUAGCGGUGAAAUGCUUAGAUAUCACGAAGAACUCCGAUUGCGAAGGCAGCUCACUGGACUGCAACUGACACUGAGGCUCGAAAGUGUGGGUAUCAAACAGGAUUAAAUACCCCUGUAGUC